GACGAACCGUACGAACGUUAUUCGGAAUCACUGGGCUUAAAGGGUGCGUAGGCGGCGCGACAAGUUGGGGGUGAAAUCCCUCGGCUCAACCGAGGAACUGCGCCCAAAACUGUCGUGCUCGAGGGAGACAGAGGUGAGCGGAACUUAGGGUGGAGCGGUGAAAUGCGUUGAUAUCCUAAGGAACACCGGUGGCGAAAGCGGCUCACUGGGUCUCUUCUGACGCUGAGGCACGAAAGCUAGGGUAGCGAACGGG
rnacentral:rRNA from 1 species